CAACAGACCCUAUGCAGCUUUACUGUAGUUAGUUAUCAUAUGAAUCUAGAACAAUCCUAGUUAAUAGAGAAUAGGGAUGUUGAAGAUCUUUUUAAGAUCGUGACAAAUAUUGGAAACCUUACAAUUAGGAUUGGGUUUGUGUUUACCUUUUUUAUUUAAAGGGAUAGUUGACUAAUUGGCAGUUUGACUGGGGCGGUCGUCUUUAAUAAAGUAGCAAAGUACAACCAAAUAUAUUUUUUUAUUACUAUUAUAUUUUACUUUAUUUUAAAGUAAAGCUAACAAAUAAAUUAGCUUGCUAGCAUCUUCUUAAUAUAAGUUAAGGAUAUGCAGUCUAGUUAUAAAAUAAUCAUAAAUUUUAUAAGGUAUAGCUAGAAAUUGAAUGGAGAUCAAUCAACCAGUGAAGGGUUGCGCAGAGUUUAAUGGCGGUAAGCAUGCUUAACUGAAAGACUCAAAAGUCGCACAGAUACGUAAGUAGGGCAUAGUGACCCCUCGCUAUAGAAUGGGAUAGACGAGGAUCAAUUGAUAAAAGUUACGCUAGGGAUAAGCUUGUUUGU
rnacentral:ncRNA from 1 species